rnacentral:misc_RNA from 1 species
AAAGUCGUAACAAGGUUUCCGUAGGUGAACCUGCGGAAGGAUCAUUACAAAUCUGGAUGAGAGGGGAGGAGGAGGGUGCGUGCAAGUGGUGGGGGGGGAAGACUCUUUCCCCCCCCCCCUUUGCUGCUCCCCCUGUCUCCAUCAUCAUUAUUGGCACCGGGGCGCGAGCCCUGAUGUUUUACGCUUGCAUGUUUGACAGAGUUAGUGGUGACUGGAAAAUGACAACUUUUAACAAUGGAUCUCUUGGCUCUU